rnacentral:rRNA from 1 species
GCCUACGGGGCGCAGCAGUAGGGAAUCUUCCACAAUGGGCAAAAGCCUGAUGGAGCAACGCCGCGUGGGUGAAGAAGGUCUUCGGAUCGUAAAACCCUGUUGUUAGAGAAGAAAGUGCGUGAGAGUAACUGUUCACGUUUCGACGGUAUCUAACCAGAAAGUCACGGCUAACUACGUGCCAGCAGCCGCGGUAAUACGUAGGUGGCAAGCGUUAUCCGGAUUUAUUGGGCGUAAAGGGAACGCAGGCGGUCUUUUAAGUCUGAUGUGAAAGCCUUCGGCUUAACCGGAGUAGUGCAUUGGAAACU